GUUUUCUCUCCCCAGCACCUAUGAGCUCAGCCCCCAGCCCAAGCCGAGCCCAGGUGUGUGCUCAAGAAAUUGUCUAAACAGGUCCUGAGCCUCCAUCUGGCACCCUGAGGAAGCACCACCACCAGCCAGUGUGGCCAAGGGGAGCCCAGGACUCUAGGUUCCAGCCUGUGCUGGAGCCCCCCAGCCCCCAGGCCACCCUGGCCCUUUCUCCUCUCUUGCCAGGCUCUUCUCCCCAGGCUGCCCAGCCCAGCUCCCCACGCCCUGCUGCAGCUCCCCACGGUAGCCUCACUCCUGCCUGCUUUUUAUAAAAUGGGCUUUGGGGAACAGUUUUAUUUGAAUAAAAAGGUUUCAGCUACUAAAAAAUUAGAAUUUAAACAUUGGUAACAAGACCUGGGAAUACAGUCCAAAUUGCUUAAUCACAGGAACCGGUUCUUGGACCCUUUCUGCACGCUGGGCGCUUGCAUACAUUAAUCUCCACAGCCUCGAGAGGUAUCUGACAGAAACCUGUUUGGGGGAAGAGGCGGCAUGUUCAGCCGCCUGCUCUGGUCCCUCUGUGGAGGCCCAGCUCAGAGGCUCCUUCCCUGGCUGAGGUUUCUGCCCCCUUCCUCUACCUGCCCAGCUCCGUGGGCCUCUCCCACAGCCGCCUUAUCUCAUUCACUGCAGGGUUCAGAGCUCUGCGAGCUUAUCUUAUCCUUGUGCUGGUCCCAGACUCCUUGAGGGCAAAGUCCAGGACUCAUUCAUCCUCCUCGUCUGGGCAGCCCCAACACACAGCCCGAUCCUGUGACUUCAGAUGGUUUGAGUGUGGAAAGAGCACAGCAUUCGGAUUCCAGAGAUCUGGCUUUUCAUUCAACCUGCACGACUUCAGGCCAGUCAUGCCGCACACCCAGGCCUCAGGCUUCUUCUGAGUUGGAGAGCAGGGGUCCCAAGCAGCUCUGACACUGUCACCUCCAAGCUGGACACCUGCAGAGGCCUCUGGAGCCCAGCGGCCCCUCCCAGAGCCUUAGCCCCAGGGCUGUGUCCACUGCUUAUGCCUCAUCAGGAGAGUGGCCUGGGGGUGCUGAGAGAGAGGGGGGGUGAAGACCCCCUUCCAGCUGACACUGGAGCCCCGGUCUGCAAAGGAAUGGACCUCUUUGGUUCUUUACCUUGGUUUUGGUUUUUUUUUUUGUCUUUUUAGGGUCGCACCUGCCGCACAUGGGAGUUUCCAGGCUAGGGGUCCAAUCGGAGUUACAGCUGCCGACCUACACCCCAGCCACAGCCACGCCAGAUCCGAGUCGUGUCUGCGACCUACACCACAGCUCACGGCAACGCCGGGUCCUUUAACCCACUGAGCGAGGCCAGGGCUCGAACCCGCAACCUCACGGUUCCUAGUCGGA
rnacentral:lncRNA from 1 species